rnacentral:lncRNA from 1 species
UCCUAUGAUGCAUAAAAGGAUUAAUUUUCGAAGAGUUUGAUGUGUUGCACCCAGCUGUUCCUAAGCAAGAUAAUCGGUAUCUUUUUUUUGCCCUUUUCAUGUUUUUUUUUUAAUUUUAUAUAGUUUCUAUGAAAGCUUCUUUUCUUAUUUGUGUUCUUUGUAACUUUUCAGCCAUGACUGUGGUGUCUUUACAUUUAAGUAUAUGGAUAUCUUCACACCAAGAACUCAGAUGUCAAUCCUUUUCUCUAGUGUAGACAUUCCAAAUCUUAGGAUCAAAUAUGUGAAUGACAUGCAUUUUCAGCCCCUUGAACAGUUCUGACAAAUCUUUUGUCACUGAUUUCUUUGGUGAUGUAUGUUCUUAUUUUCCUUGUCAUCUGUUUCAUUUUCUUCUUCUUUUUCGCUUUUAUUUUCUUUUACUAAUCCGGGUCUCUCUGAAUUUUUUUGUGUAGGGAGGCAAUGCCAAGUGAGGUUCAGCAUGUGCGCAGUCCUAGCUCAAAUGGUGACUGAGUUUUAUUUUUCAGUAGCAUGUAAUCUAAACAAAGUAGCAUGCAAUCUGAGCAUAGUAGUAUUUGUUUAGUAGUGGUUCUAUGUUUCAUUUUGAUUGUAAGGUUGUUGGAUACUGUCAUGUCUUUAUGCCUGUGACUCGGCAGUACGUAUUUGAGCACGUUAAUACUACAGUGCUUAAAAAAAUUGAUUCUAUAUCAGGGGUCCCUUUCUUAAUGAUCAUUGUUCCUUGUAUCUCAUUU